rnacentral:rRNA from 1 species
GACGAACGCUGGCGGCGUGCCUAAUACAUGCAAGUCGAGCGGACUUUCAAGAAGCUUGCUUUUUGAAAGUUAGCGGCGGACGGGUGAGUAACACGUGGGCAACCUGCCUGCAAGACGGGGAUAACUCCGGGAAACCGGGGCUAAUACCGGAUAAUAUCUUCCUUCGCAUGAAGGAAGGUUGAAAGGCGGCGCAAGCUGCCGCUUGCAGAUGGGCCCGCGGCGCAUUAGCUAGUUGGUGAGGUAACGGCUCACCAAGGCGACGAUGCGUAGCCGACCUGAGAGGGUGAUCGGCCACACUGGGACUGAGACACGGCCCAGACUCCUACGGGAGGCAGCAGUAGGGAAUCUUCCGCAAUGGACGAAAGUCUGACGGAGCAACGCCGCGGGAGCGAAGAAGGUCUUCGGAUCGUAAAGCUCUGUUGUCAGGGAAGAACAAGUACCGUUCGAACAGGGCGGUACCUUGACGGUACCUGAACAGAAAGCCACGGCUAACUACGUG